GUCAGUGUGGUAUAGUGGUUUGAGUGUUGGACUAUGGUUCUAGAAAUCAGGGUUCAAUUCCCUUGGGCAUGGGCA